GGUUACUGCCAGGUAUAUUUCUACCUUAGUGCUUAUUGCUAUUACUUUUCUUGUCGAAUGAAUGUCAUUAGCUUGUUACGAAGCCCUUAUAAGUUUUCAGGUCUGGUCUCAUUUGAAUAUAUCCUUCAACACAUUAACAGCGCCUAGCAAUGGGAAUAACCAUUGGGCAUUUGGCAACCUGCACCAUUGCCAAUUUGCCAUAAGUUGAAUGCCAUCCAUAAACAACAAGAUCGUCAACGCAUAAGGGCCAUACUUUUUGAAGGAAAAAAACUAUAUUAAAAAAAGGAUGAUCAAUUUAUGGCGUUUUAAAGUAAAAGAUCUAUACUAAGCUCAUAGUACAUAACUAAACUCUGUACAUAUGUCUGUUUCUUUUAUUGAACGAUAUAUGAUAAUUCAUUUUCUUUGGAAGGAAUAGGUUCCGUCGACAUAGAUUUUGUGUUCAUGAAGUGCACCUUUCUGUUUGAUGCAUGAAGAUUCUAUGCUGUGAAUCUAUAGUAAAAUGCACCUGAACAGUUUGGCACUUCUCGUUUAGGAAUGACAUUAGUUAUAAAUAUUUACAUUGUAUGGUUUUUCGUUUGAGGAAUUAUUAUCUUUUAUCCUAGACACCAUCAAUUAUACUGUGAGUGCAUGGAAAAUAAUUCGGUGCAAUCGAGUUGAAGCACAUACGAAGGAUAGGCCUGGCACGAUGGUGAGAAGCCUUUUCACUGAGCCAAAAGCUCCUGGGUGUUAGACUACCUCUUCUCAUUUGGCAGCACCAUUAGCUGAGAAUUAAGGAGGACUUUUUUGGUUUCCUACUUGUUUUAGUCGGUGAUCCGUAGUUAGUCUCUAGUGGUGUGUGUGCUGUAUUGAGGUCUCUCCCCCUUUCUUUUCUUCUUUUAAUACAAAAGAUGCGCAGCUCUCCUGCGUAUU
rnacentral:lncRNA from 7 species